UGUGGCAAAACUGGGGACAUCCAAAUAAAGCUUGCAGUUUUGGGAACAGUAACCCAACUAAGAAACAUAAUCUGGUAGUGGUUAAAAGUGUAUCAUGGAUCUAGAAGUUGUUAGCCCCAGGGGCAACAGGGAGGCAUAUGUUGGAACUCUGCACUAUUUUGUUGGAGACCAUUGAAACUGCUGAACGAUGCAGUAAACAAAUUUGGCUCACAUGCAAAACACAACCACUAAGAGAGCUUUAUCAUUGCCUGCACCUGAUUUUGCUCAUUAACCUACGUCACCUUCCCUAAUAAAAGUCAUGAGGGCUAAAGCCUAGGCGCCUUUGUUCUGCAGAACAGAGUGCCUCCUGGUCCCCCACUUUCUAAAUUACCAAAACAGGUGCAUAGGAUUGGAAAGAAGUCAGACUUUGUGCCAGGUGUGUAAUGAAACUUGUGGAUCCUUGGCUACGUCUCUCUGGUCGCCUCCAGGGCUCUGAUCUGUCUCCCCACCCGAUUGCAGUCUGAGGCCAUAAGCGCUGUCUUGAUGGAUUGUGUUUGCUGCCAUCUCUCUGGCGUCUAGAAUCUGGAGCCCACAAAGCCGCUGCUCAGGAAUGAUGUGGGGAAGGAUGGAAUGAAGGGACCCUUCCCCUCCAGUCUGAAUGUCCAGCCUCUCCCCACCCUCCCGACUUCAUCACUUGAGUGGAUGCCACCAACUCCUUUACAGCUUGCUUCAGAUCUAAACUUUUUUUCCCCCAGGCUAGGGGUCAAAUCCGAGCUACAGCUGCCCACCUAUGCCACAGCCAUAGCAAUGCCAGAUCCAAGCCCAGUCUGUGACCUCACUACAGCUCAGGGCAACACCGGAUCCUCAACCCACUGAGUGAUGCCAGGGAUCGAACCCUCAUCCUCAUGGAUACUAGUUGGGUUCUUAACCUGCUGAGCCACAACUGGAACUCCAGAUCUAAGUGUUGUUAUUGUUUCUGAUAAUCUGCCCAGGACAUGACUCAGAGACAUGGGCCACGUCUGCAUCUCCUCUAUGUCAGGGUCGCAGUGCUUAAGUCACACUGAGGAUGGUAUAUUCCCACCUCAGGGCCUUUGCACUUGCUGUGCCCUCCACUGGCCCACUCUUCCUUACCUUCUUGUCCAUGAGUACUUGGCUUCAUAUGCUACUUCCUCAGACUACCCUGACACUCUGACUUAACUAGCACAUACCCCCACUGACCCAGAUAGUACCUACCCCCAUCACCCUCUCUCUAGGCUCUACUGUUGUCAAGCACCACCUUGCCCACCCCAGAAAUUCCCAAGAAAGCAGGUCGGGGUGAUCAACCAAUGUACACUCGAUGGGGGCAGAAGGGGGCUAACAUUACUUCUGACAAGCACAGGUCAGUGAAGGGAGGUGGGCAUCAGAUUGGUACUGUGUGGUGAGGUGAGCCCGAGGUGGGAGGAUGGUGGAUGAUAUCAGGAGGUGGGCGUGGGGGCUGCAGGAACAGUGGCCUGAGGUCCACAGAGGGUGGACUCAAUCUGGAGGGUGACAGGUUUGGAGGAUGGGGUCCAAGCUGUGUUUUCACAAGAUCAGUCUGGAAAAAGGCAAGCUACAGAUAGAUCUAUAUCAUCUGUCUCUCUUAUCUGUUUCUCUGUACCUAUAGCUAUAUCUAUUUAUACCUAUCUGUGUAUCUAUCUAUUCAUUGAACUAUAUCUGUCCAUCUACUUUAUCUCUAUCCAUCCAUUUAUUUUUAUC